GUGUCAGCAGCCGCGGUAAUACGAAGGUGGCAAGCGUUGUUCGGAUUCACUGGGCGUACAGGGAGCGUAGGCGGUUGGGUAAGCCCUCCGUGAAAUCUCCGGGCCUAACCCGGAAAGUGCAGAGGGGACUGCUCGGCUUGAGGACGGGAGAGGAGCGCGGAAUUCCCGGUGUAGCGGUGAAAUGCGUAGAGAUCGGGAGGAAGGCCGGUGGCGAAGGCGGCGCUCUGGAACGUUUCUGACGCUGAGGCUCGAAAGCGUGGGGAGCAAACAGGAUUAGAUACCCUGGUAGUCC
rnacentral:rRNA from 1 species